UGCAAAUCAAUAUAAAUUGAAUUUAAAAUUUAUUUAUUAAUUAAAUUUUUUUUUAUUCUUUUAAUUUAUUUUUAUUAAAAAUAAUUAUACAAUUAAUUUGUUUUAGUAAUUAUUAAUGAAAAAAUAAUUUUAAUUAUAGUUUAUUUGUAUUGUAAAAGAUUAUUGAAAUAUAUUGAAAAAUUUUUAUUAAAUAAGAAAAAUUUAAUUUUUGUACCUUGUGUAUCAGGGUUUAUUAAAUAAUUAAUAACUAUUUUAUUGAUCUCGAUUUUAUAAGAGUUAAUAAUUUAUAAAAUUUAAUGUGUCAAAAUUAUUUUAAAUAAAUUGUUAGAAAUGAAAUGUUAUUCGUUUAUAAAUGUAUCUAGUUUUUUUAGAAAUAAAUUUAAUUUAUGAAUUUUUAAUUUAUUUAUUAAUUUUUAAAUAAAUAAAUUUAUUAAUUCAAUUAUUUUAAGGGAUAAGCUUUAAAAUAAAUUAUUAUAAAUAAAAUAAUUUUAAAGUUAAAAAUAUAUGCUUAGAAUUAGCAAUUAUUAUUAAUUUUGUUAAAAAUUAUUUAUUAAAAUAGUAAUAUUUAUUUAUAUUUUAAUUUUUUAUAAAAAUUUUUAUAAAAAUUUUAAUUAUAAAUUAAUAAUGAUAAAAUUAGUAUAUAUUUAAAUGUAAAAAUAAUUUUUAUUGAAAAUUUUAUAUAAAGAACUCGGCAAAUAUUUUACUCGCCUGUUUAACAAAAACAUGUCUUUUUGAGUUAAUUUUAAAGUCUAACCUGCCCAAUGAAAUUUUUAAUGGCCGCAGUAAAUUAACUGUGCAAAGGUAGCAUAAUCAUUAGUCUUUUAAUUGAAGGCUUGUAUGAAUGGUUGGACGAAGUAUAAUCUGUUUCAUAAAAAUUUAUAAUAGAAUUUUAUAUUUUAGUAAAAAAGCUAAAAUUUUAUUAAAAGACGAGAAGACCCUAUAAAUCUUAAUAGUUUUUAUAAUUUAAUUUUUAUAGAUUUUUUAAAAUUUAAUUAUAAAAAUUAUUUUAUUGGGGUGAUAUUAAAAUUUAAAAAACUUUUAAUUUUUUUUUUCAUUUAUUUAUGUUUUGUUGAUCCUUUAUUAAUGAUUAAAAGAAUAAGUUACUUUAGGGAUAACAGCGUAAUUUUUUUGGAGAGUUCUUAUUGAUAAAAAAGUUUGCGACCUCGAUGUUGGAUUAAGAAAUAUUUUAGGUGUAGUUGCUUAAAUAAAUAAGUCUGUUCGACUUU
rnacentral:rRNA from 1 species